rnacentral:lncRNA from 10 species
GUUGGAUGUAGUUCAAGACAGCUGUGGCUCCAGCCAGUGGGCAGCUUGUGGGCUCAGCCACAAUUGUCCUCUCGGGUUGCAGGGCACCUAUUGGGUCCCUGUUUGUCUUACUCUCCUCCACCUCACACCUUGAUUUCCCUCCUGAUUGCCAGCCUGGCCAACCUGUAAUGCCUACAGGCCCAACACCAGAAGUAAGGACCACAGUUUUGCCCAGACUUCUCUUCUUUACAUUUGUUUUUAGAGAUGAGGUCUUGCCAUGUUGCCCAGGGUAGUUUUGAACUCCUGGCCUCAAGUGAUUCUCCCACUGAAGCCUCCCCUACAUAGUCUUCUUAACCGGGUCUUACAAUUGCAUAAGGCCUAAUCCUUUUGUCAAAUGCCUUAUUCUGUAUCACUCAUAACAGUUCCGCUUCUCUGACUGAACUCUUUCCUAACUCACACGUAGCUGUCUUCCUCCACACACUGCCAAUCUUAUCAUUCUAUUCUACCCUGGCAUGUUACUGACUUUUAUUAGUGCCUUGCCAUUACCUAGAAAAUCAAGUCCACAUCCCUAAGGGUGGCAUUCAAAGCCCUCCAUCAGCUUUACCAAAGCCUAUCCUCUUAGCUGCUACACUGAACUGCUUUCCAGAAGGCCUGGGAAUGAAUCUGCCUCUGCCUCCUAUUAGCUAUGAAGCCUCGGGCUAGUCAAUUUCCACUGAACGUCAGUUUUCACAUCUAUAAAAUGGCAAAACCAUCCUGCAAGACUGAUGUUCUGCCCACACCACAGUUGUUUACUGCCUGUGUGUUCUUUGAUGGGUUGGUUCCCAUUUCUUGCCAGUUCUUGGAUAUUUUGAAUAGCACCCCGAAUUAUUUUUCUGUUGCUGCAUAACAAAUUGCCACAAACACAGUGGUUUCACAAUCCUUUAUUAUUUCGCAGUUUCUAUAGUUCAGAGUCUGGGCACAGCAGAGCUGGAUUGCCCGUUCAGGGUCUCACAAAGCAACAUCAAGGCGUUGGCUGGGGCCCCAUGGUGAUCUAGAGGAUAGGGUCCUCCUCUGAGCUCAUUCGGGAUGUGGGCAGAAUUCAGUUCCUUUUGUCUAUGGGGCAGAGUCCCUGUAUUCUUGCUGGCUCUCAGCUGGAGGUUGAUCUCAGCCCCUAGAGGCCAUGCUCAAGUCCUAGCCAUGUGGGCCUCUUCCAGCACGGCUACUCACAUCUGCAAAGCCAGCAGGAGAAUCUCUCUCCAGCCUGCUAGGACAGAGUCUUACAUAACACAACCCAGUCAGGGAAGUGACUCCCCAUCAUGUUCCCAGGGCCUGACCGCUGGGGAGGACCCAAUGGGAGGAGAUUUUACAGAGCAUGUGCAUCGGGAGCUGGGAAUCUUGGGGCUACCUUAGAAUUCUGUCCAGCACAAACCCCGUUACCUCUCAGCACU